rnacentral:piRNA from 2 species
AUGUGGCUCUGUGGCGCAAUGGA